GCGGCUGUGGCGGAAUAGGUAGACGCGCACGCUUGAGGGGCGUGUGGGCGACCGUGCUGGUUCGAGUCCAGUCAGCCGCACCA
rnacentral:tRNA from 1 species